AAUCUUCCGCAAUGGACGAAAGUCUGACGGAGCAACGCCGCGUGAGUGAUGAAGGUUUUCGGAUCGUCCCACUCUGUUGUUAGGGAAGAACAAGUAUCGGAGUCACUGCCAGUACCUUGACGGUACCUGACGAGAAAGCCACGGCUAACUACUUGCCAGCCGCCGCGGUAAUACGUAGGUGGCAAGCGUUGUCCGGAUUUAUUGGGCGUAAAGCGCGCGCAGGCGGUCUUUUAAGUCUGAUGUGAAAUCUUACAGCUUAACUGUAAGCGGUCAUUGGAAACUGGGAGACUUGAGUGCAGAAGAGGAGAGUGGAAUUCCACGUGUAGCGGUGAAAUGCGUAGAGAUGUGGAGGAACACCAGUGGCGAAGGCGGCUUUCUGGACUUAUACUGACGCUGAGGAACGAAAGCGUGGGGAGCAAACAG
rnacentral:rRNA from 1 species